rnacentral:lncRNA from 1 species
UAUGUGCAUGCCAACAACUAUAAAAGGAGACCAUGAGGCAAUGAGUUGAUCAUCAAAGCAAACACACAGAAAUCCCAACUAAAAAUCAAUCAGUGAGACAAUGGCUGGAACCAAUGAUAUUAAAAUUAAAGGGUUUGAUUUGAGCAACAACAAAGGCAACACGUCGGGAUUAACCCACUUCGCCAACAGAGCUGCCGAGGGCGACAAGGGCGACAAUAAAAUCGAGGUUGAGGAUGCUAAAGGGCAAGGGAACACGGGAAACUUGAAAGUACUGACCGACUUCGCCCAACGCGGUAAAGUGGGCCAGUCGGAUCGCCAAGAACUACUCAAACCUCAGGCAUGAAAUUGAAGAAGGCCAGACCACAACAACUUGUCUGCUUGAUAGAUAUAUGUGCUAAAUUAUCUACACAAAAAUAAGAGCUGAUGUUUUAUCUGAGGCUCCUUCCUUGGUUAGGCCUCGUUAUCAUGUGUAAUAUUAAUAUUAUUAUUCUAAUAAAAUAAUGGUAGCUUAUUAUUAAAUAUAUCAGAAUUCUAUACGUAUAACUUUUAGAUUAUUGAUACUGAUGUCAACAAGAGAAAAUGAUUAAAAAUUCCUUUCUCCAAUUCGUGAUGUUAGACAAGAAGCAAACAAAUUUAGGAUAAUGGAUUUUAAAAGUUUGGUGACAAAUGAUGGUAAAGAAGAAUUUAGCCACUACUACAAAAAGUGAAAAAGACGACCAGAAAACAACGACGGUCUAAGUGAAAACCGUCGUGGUUUAUAAAAAGACGACGGUUCUAAAAACACCGUCGUGUAAUACAACCUUAGACAACUAAAAAAUGGAGUUUCAAAUGGCUGUUCAAAAACAACGACGUACAUAAUUAAACAACCGACGUCUAUUUGAAACAGAUUUCCUCAGUGUAAAAUCAAUGCCAACAAAGAACGGCAGAAGUUAUGAAUCGACCGACGUAGAAAGUAAAGACGACGAUUUCAAUAAAAACUGCCGUUUUUACUCAUAAAAUAACACGACGAGGUUUUCGUAUAAGACGCCGUAUAAUUACAAACAAAUCCACGGCUUUAAAAUACAAAAUAUCGCCGUAUUAAAUUAAUUUACAACGACGGAAAAUAUAAAUAUAUCGACGUCAUUCUCGUAUAGUUCUACUACGUUAUCUUUAAAUCGUACAAUAAAAUUUAUCGUCGUAUUUAUUCAUUUUAUACGUCGUACCUUUAAUUUUAACGGUCGUCUUAAUAAGAAUUUUUGUUAACAAUUUUUUUCUUUGAUUUUCUUAUCCUACGUCGGUAGAUCUACUUAAUGACAAGAAUUGAAAUAACCACGACGGUUUAUAUAGAACACCGCCGACAUAAUCAGUUUUGUCUGAGAUCCCAAGGGUUACGAAAUCUUACCAGAUGGAACUCUGUUCCACAUCAUAAUCUUAACAGAUGACACAGAUUUGCAAAUAUUGCGUCGUGUUAGUUUACAAAUUCUAGAACAUUAAUUUCCCUCAUUUUAAAUUUCCUCGGGAAAGAAAAAUCUAUUUAUCACGCUUUGGAAUUGAAAACUAAAACUGAAAGAAUACGGGAAAAAAAACUCCAUUUAUAAUUUAAAAUUAAAAUCCACGUCGGUUGUAGUACACUUAACGACGUUUAACAAAAUAAUCUACGUCGGUAAUUAUAAAUCUACCGCCAUCGUAACUUAAUAUAGACGACGAGAAAAGACGACGGUAGAACAGAAAACCGCCGUUGUUUCAGUUUCUUUAACAUAUCUUUCUGCAGGACUUGUGUAGUUCAAAGCAUUGACAAUGUCUUCAUCAUAUCUCCCAGAAACUACUGAUUCAAUUGCUCAUGCUUUAGAGGCCAUCUGAAGCCAUUUCUAUUCUUUAUCGCAUUCUUGAAACCCAUCUUCUUCUUCUGAAGCUCUACGGAUAAAGGAAGAGGCUAUCACAAUAAAUCCGACGGAUCUUCUUAGGCAAGAAAAUCAAGCAGAGGAUCAGGCACAUCUGAUCUUCAGAUUUCCCUGAGAAGCGAACUUUCCUUCGACAGCGAGUGGAGGCCAGGCUUGCAUCUCUUUUGAUGGAAAGCAAGGAGUAUUCAGAAGCACUAAGUGUCCUAUCAGGCUUGAUCAAGGAAGUGAGAAGGCUAGUUGACAAGCUUCUUCUUGUGGACAUAUAUUUGAUGCGAGUAAGCUCAAUUUCUCUUUGAGAAAACAUCCAAAUUAUUAUCUUUGAGACAUGAGAGACUGAGAGAGGAAGAACUUGGAACCUUAAAUGUAAACCGAAAAUGAAUGAAAGCGACAAAUUUAUAGAAUAAAUUUUUAAAACCAACGGCGGUCCUUACAAACAAACCGCCGUUUAAAUUGUAAAAUCAACGUCGGUAUGAUCGACGUAUAUUACAGAAAUCCACGUCGGUAAAUUAAUAAAAACGACGUGUUAAAUAAUAUACCAUGACGCGAGUUAUUACUUAUGUACUUUAAUUUUUGAGUUUACUACGACGGUACCUACAAACUACUGUCGUAUUUAUUUACCACGUCCGAAGUUAAAUGUACCGUCGUAUUUUGUAAUUUAUACGUCGUAGUUAUAUGUAACCGCCAUAUUAUUUUUUUGAAAUGGUUUUAUAUGUAAGCAACUUUUCGUCUACUUGACUUACACAUUUGUUGUUUUUAUAUUCUUAUUUUAUUUAAAUCUGUCAUCCAAAAAAGAAACUUUACAUAUUGCAGAAUAUUAAUUUCCUUCGUUUUAAAUUUCCUCCGGAAAAAAAACUCUAUUUAUAACGCACUGUAAUUGAAAAAUAAACUGAAAGGUCACGGGAAAAAAAAUUCUAUUCAUAAUUUAAAAAUUAAAAUCCACGUCGGUUAUAUUAAACCUAACGACGUUAAAUGAAAUGAUUCCACGUCGAAUGAAAAAUAUUGCGUCGUUUUAGUUAAAAACGACGUAGUUAAAUGUAACCGCCGUAUUAUUUUUUUGAAAUGGUUUUAUAUGUAAGCAACUUUUCGACUUACACAUGCACUGUUUCCAAACCCGAUUAAAAAUUUCAAUCUCCCAGAGAAACCUUUUCGUCUUUUUUCCUUGUCAGAGCAUUGUCAGAGUUUUUCAUCGUCUUCCUCUCGUCUUCUUCGUCGUCUCUGAACUUAAACAUCGAUCAUCUUCCUCUUGCUUUCAUUGCACGCAAAAGGUAAGCUUUCAUUUUCACUAUUUUGGUUACUGUUUUGCAUGCUCAUACGUUUUUUGUUUGAAAAAUCUUUUUACCUUUUUUCUGGCCAAAAUCAUUUUACUUCUUUCCAAGUUUGAUAAAAUAUACAGACAAAGAGAGAAAGUUUCCAACUUUGAAGACAACUACAUCAACUAAAUAAGACGACGGUAGACCACGACGGUUCGUCAGUUGUUCUAGCGUCGUCUGAAAAUUGACAAAGUUGUUUUUAAAAUAAUAGUCUUUUUUUAUAUGCUUGUUUAAUUGCAGGUUUGAUUUCGCUGAACAAUGGUUUUUGUUUUUCCCUUAUUUGAUAAAAUAUAAAGAAAAAGAAACUAGGGUUGGUAUCUAAUAUAGACGAUAAAAUAUAAAUAAUAGUUUACCACGACGGUGUAUUACUAUUGACGUCGUGUGAACAUAUAUACCACGACGUUAUAUAAAUAAUGGUUUUAAACAUUUAUUACGUCUGAGAUUAUUUCAUUGCGUCGUCUAAAAUCAUAUCAUACGUCGUAUUUUUUUAAUACCGUCGUUUGUGUUCUUAAUGUUUUCCUGAAAUAUUUUCACUUGCAGUUUUGUCUGUUAAAAUGGUUUCUCAACAACAAACUAAGGAUUCUGGCUCCAAGAAGCUUGGAAUGGUAGCUCCUCAAGAUAAGUCUUCGAAGGAGAUGAAGUCUUCGAAGAAGAUGAAGUUUGCUUCAUCAUCUGCUGAGACAGAACAAACCAGCCAGACAACAAUCUCAGAUGAUUCAAAGACUGGUCGAGGUAUGAGCACAAUGCCUCGUGUUGUGAAGAGAAAGCUUCAGAAACUGAGGCCAAUUGUUGAGUACAAUAAAAGGGGGAAAGGUGUUGGCCAAGCACAUAUUGAGAUGCAGUCGUAUAUUGGUGUGUUGGCACGCUCCAGGAUCCCACUUGUGGACAAGAAAUGGUCCCAAAUCCCCAAGGAUAUAAAGGAGCAGAUUUGGGAAGCAGUUGACAUGGCUUUUGUCGUAGGCCAAGGGGGCAAGACCUCUGUUUUAGCUUCUGCUUCCAAGAAAUGGAAGGAUUUCAAGUCUACACUAACGAGGCAUUAUAUCCUUCCAUACACCAAUGACAGGGAGAAAUUAAGCCAACCCCCUGAAACAUAUAAAUUCAUAGAGAAAGCACAAUGGGAUGCCUUUGUAGCUUCAAGGCUAUCCAAAGAUUUUGAGUCUGUGCAUUCUCAACAUGCACAGAUUAGGGAGAAACUCGAGUACAAUCAUCGAUUGUCUCGAAAAGGAUAUGCUGGAUUGGAGGAUCAAUUGGAGGAAACCAUGCCUGGGGUAGAAAUUGAUCGAUCUACCUUAUGGAAGAGAGCUAGACAGGACAAACAUGGUAACAUCCCUGAUCCAAAGGUGGCAGAGAAAGCAAAAUUAAUUGUAAGCCUACUAUCACUCUGUUUUAAAUUUUUAUUAAACUGUGAAUUAUUCUUAUUACGUCGUAUGUUAUAUUUUUCGUCGUGUGAAUGAUAUUACCACGUCGAAAAGUUUUUAAAAACGUCGUUAAAGGUCUAAAUAGGAAUCACUACUAUGUUUUCUGUAAUUACAGCAUAAGACGUCGGUGGUUCAUUUUCGCGUCGUGUGAAUGAUAUUACCACGUCGAAAAUUUUUUAAAAACGUCGUUAACGGUCUAAAUAGGAAUCACUACUCUGUUAUCUUUAAUUAUAGCAUAAGACGUCGGUUGUUUAUUCAUUUCGUCGUUUUAAAUAAAUAACCACGUCGGUAUAACUACCGUCGUGAUAAGUUAUAAUAACGUCGGUUUAUACGUUAUUGCGUCGUGUGAAAUUAUAUAAUACGUCGUUUGUACAUAAAUAACCGUCGUGUGUUUUUUUGUUUAUCUUUUUUUAGGAUGAAUUGCAGAAACAAGUCUCGGAAGGCAAAGUCAGAGUAGAUGGCAGCAAUGAUGUGCUGACCAUGGCUUUGGGCCCCGAGCAUCCAGGCAGACUGAGGGGAGUUGGUGCUGGUGUUUCCCCAAGGCAAUAUUUCAAUUUGCCCAAACCACAGAGGGUGAGCUUUGACGACCGUUUGAAGGACAGUUUAAGAGUUCUCCUUCAAGAAGAGACUAAAAAGAUGGAGGCUAAGGCAAGGGAAGAGGCCUUAAGGAUGGAGGCUAGGACAAAACAAUUGGUAGAGGCUGAGAGGGAGCAUUUCCUGAGUCAGCUUUCCCAAUUAAUUCCCAAUUUUGAUCCAAGCAUGCUUAAACCAAGAAUUAGCCAAAGCCCCAAAAAUCCAAUGUCUGACAAAGCUAGCUGCUCUGGAGGUGAUGUGAGAUCCCUACAUUUGGAGGAUGAUACUGCCAAAAUGGGGAAACAUCAGCCAGAUGAAGAGAAGGAAGAAGAAAAAAGAGAUGAAGAGAAGGAAGAAGAAAAGGAGAAAGAAGAUGAAGAAAAGCAUGACGACAAGGUAUGUUCACAUAACUUUGCCUUUUUUAUUUGUUUUUCAAAAUUUCAGACGUCGAUAUUUUUAUUUAAUCCGUCGUUUGUUUAAAACUUAGACGGCGGAAUUUUUUUAAGACGUAAUAAAAUAUUUAAACGACGGUUUUUGCACCGUCGUUUAAAUGGUUUCAGACGACGCUUUAUUCAUAAAACCGUCGUCUUUAUUGAAUUACCACGACAGUUUUUUCACCGUCGUUUAAAUACUUUUAAGACGACGUUUUAUUACUUAAACCGUCGUCUUUAUUGAAUUACCACGUCAUUUUUUUUAUUUCUUUAAACAGGUUAUUGAAGUUGGUGCUUAUUCAAAAAUGGAGGCGCCAUCUUCUUUAAAAACCCUUUGUCGUUUUGUGGAAACGACACUCCUGCCUGAGGAUAAGACACUCCAAUUUACAAUUGAUAAGGAGGUGUUUGGUGGUGAGCGCGAUACCUUCCUCCUGCCUGAAGAUAUUACACAAUUUGCAGGCAUGGAAGAAAUUGGAGCUACUGUAUUGGCUGUAUAUAUGAGGUUUGUACUUCUAAAAUAAUACCUCGUUGGUUUAUAUAUUGCGUCGUCUUAACUAACUAACCACGUCGUCUUAACUAACUACCGUCGUGAUAAAUAUAUUAUAACGUCCUCAUCUAUUUCAGUACGUCGUGUGAAAUAUUAUAAUACGUCGUUUUUUUAUACAUAACCGUCGUGUUUGUUUGUGCUGACUUGUUUAUAUUAUUUUAUGUAUUUAGGUACUUACACGAUGUUUUGAAACAAGCCAAUAUGUGCAGCAUGGUUGGCUUUAUUGACCCUGCUACAGUUAGUGCCAACUCUGGCACAAUAACUGAAAGAUCACGACUGGUAGCAGCUCGACUUCAGAAGACAGACGGUGAACAGCUUUUCAUGAUGCCUUACAAUCCAGGGUUAGUCUCCUUAGGAUUUUGUUUUUAUGAUUUUCAAUAAAUGACAGCUUAUAAACUAACCACGUCGGUGUUUUAUUUUAUUUAGUCGUUUGAAACUACUAACCACGUCGGUAUUUAUUUGUCGUCGUGAUAAAUAUAUAAUGUUGUCGUUAUCUACUUUAUUUCGUCGUGUGAAAUACUAUAAUACGUCGUUUUUGUAAAUAACCGUCGUUUUUAUAUUAAUUUUGUGCAGCCGUCAUUGGAUCCUGCUGAUUGUAAGAGCAAAGAAGGAGACCGUCUAUUUUCUGGAUCCUCUGCCAGGUCAUCGUGUGGUCGACGAAGAGGCGAAAAACAUCGUGAACAGUGCUUUAAAAAUAUAUAAUACCCACAUAGGCCGAGCAGGACGUAAAAAUGUAAUUUGAAAAACUCUCUCAGGCACACCAAAGCAACCCAGCAAUGUCGAAUGCGGGUAUUAUGUGAUGCGCUUCAUGAGGGACAUCAUCAUGGAUCCUUCCUUGGGGUUUGAGAAUAAGGUAAGAAGAAAUUACCUUCAUACAUUUCACGUCGUUUUUUGUAUUAUCAACGACGGUCAUGUAAAAUUAACGUCGUUGAAUGGAUAUACUACGUCGGUUAUGAAAAAUAUCGUCGUCUGUGAUUGAAUUUCUUUUUAUUUAUAAACCCUAAUAGUCAUUGUUUAUGCAGUAUGCCAAGGGAAACCAGGAAGCUUCAUACCCCCAAGAAGCCAUUGAUGAAGUCCGGAAUGAAUGGGCAGAGUUUGUUUUCCAAAUUAUUAAACAGGGCAAUUAUUGAACACUUGAUAUUUAUGUAUAAUGUACCAAUUUUCUCUAUAAUAUGUAAUGUAAAAAUUUGUUGAGGUUUUCUUAAAUUAAAAAAAAAACAAACAUACAAAUUGCUUAACCGACGUGUAAUACUUUUCCAACGACCUAAUAAAGUCACAAACCGUCGUAUUUUGUUGUUUCGUGUUUUAAACAAUUACGACGUAAAAAAAUAGUUAGACGACGUUCUUUGAACAAUUGAGUCGUUAAUGGUUUACAAUAUCUUCAAUUUCUUAAGGGUUCAGGGUAUAAUCGACGACGUUUAUGUAACGACUGCGGUUAAGUCGUAAAAUAUAUAUUUUACGUCGUAUAGUUAAAUAGCCGCCAUGGUUUUUCAUUUUAACGACGUCAUUUUAACGACUUAGUAGUCUAUUACAAUUUACAACGUCUACAAUUUAUUAACACCGACGUGGUUUGUUGUUGUGGUAAGAAUAUUUUAUUAUUUUUAUAUCAAAAUAUUCAAAAUAAAUUUAAAAUAAAUCAGAAAAUUGAAAAGUCAACUCCUAUGAAGUCAUUGAUAUAUUUUCUUCCACAUAAACCUUGAAAAAAUUCAUUUUGAAUAACAAAAAUUUAAAAUGACCAUCCAAAACAAAAUUGUUUUGAUGACUCAUAAAAUCACUUCUAGUUUUAUGGUUUAGGGUUUAGAGUCUAGGGUUUAGAGAUUAGGGUUGUUAUUUAUUGGGGUUUAUUUUUAAAGUAUAAUUUUUGGGUAGUCUAGGGUAUAUGUUAGGCUUUAAAACCAUAAAACCUUUUAUAAACUUAAUUUUUUAAAUUGUAUAAUUUAAUUUUAUGGGUUUAGGGUAUUAAUUUUUAACGACGGUGGUUGGGUCGUGGAAUACAUAUUUUACGUCGUACAGUAAAACAUACGACAUGGUUUACGCUUUAAACGACGUCAUUUUAAUAUGUAAGUCGGUUUAUAUAAUUUACAACGUCAACGUCUUUAAUUUCUUAACACCGACGUGGUUUUUCAGUCGUCGUUAUAUAAAAAAUUCAAAAUAAAUUUAAAAUUAAUCCGAAAAAUGAACGGCCUUACGUUCUUAAUCCGAAAAAUGAAGUUUCCGUCGUGGAAUAUUAAAUUUACGUCGGUACUUGUAGAACUUUCGCCUUGGUUUUUCUUUCGACGUUUUAAAACGCGCGCGCUCUAAAAAUUUUCGCGCGACCUAAACUUUUUUAGAUUUGGCUCUUAUUCUUAUACUUCGAACCCUGAAACCUAAAANNNNNNNNNNNNNNNNNNNNNNNNNNNNNNNNNNNNNNNNNNNNNNNNNNNNNNNNNNNNNNNNNNNNNNNNNNNNNNNNNNNNNNNNNNNNNNNNNNNNNNNNNNNNNNNNNNNNNNNNNNNNNNNNNNNNNNNNNNNNNNNNNNNNNNNNNNNNNNNNNNNNNNNNNNNNNNNNNNNNNNNNNNNNNNNNNNNNNNNNNNNNNNNNNNNNNNNNNNNNNNNNNNNNNNNNNNNNNNNNNNNNNNNNNNNNNNNNNNNNNNNNNNNNNNNNNNNNNNNNNNNNNNNNNNNNNNNNNNNNNNNNNNNNNNNNNNNNNNNNNNNNNNNNNNNNNNNNNNNNNNNNNNNNNNNNNNNNNNNNNNNNNNNNNNNNNNNNNNNNNNNNNNNNNNNNNNNNNNNNNNNNNNNNNNNNNNNNNNNNNNNNNNNNNNNNNNNNNNNNNNNNNNNNNNNNNNNNNNNNNNNNNNNNNNNNNNNNNNNNNNNNNNNNNNNNNNNNNNNNNNNNNNNNNNNNNNNNNNNNNNNNNNNNNNNNNNNNNNNNNNNNNNNNNNNNNNNNNNNNNNNNNNNNNNNNNNNNNNNNNNNNNNNNNNNNNNNNNNNNNNCUGUUUUUGUUUAAAACCCGUCGUCUCAUGUUGUUUAUACCUUGCGAUUAGAUCAUGUAUAAUCUGCUAUAGUGAUGGUCAUGCCUGUAUUUUCACUUUUAUAUAGAUAAUAGGUUAUAGUGUCGGAGAUGGAUAAGUCAUGGAUGCACUCGGAUAGAAGAUCGAAGGCAUAUGAGUUUGGGGUGGAAGCAUUUUUGAACUUUGCUGUAGAAAAUCUUCUAACUACAACACAUAUCCGUUGUCCAUGUGUUAAAUGUGUUAAUUUGAAGUUGUUUGGGGUUGGAAUUAUAAGGGAUCACUUAUACUUUAAUGGAAUUGACCAAAGCUAUAAGAAUUGGACAUUUCACGGAGAACCUUGGGAAGCAACUACUAAUGCUAGCAGAAAUGUUGAAGAAGAUGAUGGCCAUAGUAGGUACAGUUUUGUGUCUGAAGAAAUUGAUAUGGAUGAUAAUGAUUUUGGUGAUUUUGGUUCGGAUCCGUAUGAGUUUGCCAAUGUGAUUGGGGAUGGAGAUCAACCAGUGUACCCUGGUUGUAGAAAGUACACGAAGUUAUCGGCAUUAGUGAAGUUGUAUAAUUUGAAGGCAAAACAUGGGAUGAGUGAUGUCUGUUUUACAGAAUUAUUGAUACUUCAAGGCGAUUUGCUUCCAGAAGGAAAUACAAUACCAACCUCCAUGUAUGAGGCUAAAAAGACUUUGUGUGCAUUGGGGCUGAGUUAUGAGAAAAUGCACGCAUGCCCCAAUGAUUGCAUCUUGUAUAGGAAGGAGUAUGAGGAUUCAACUAAUUGUCCUACUUGUGGUAUCUCAAGGUGGAAGGAAGGCAAAGAUGCAAUCUUGAAAGAGGGUGUGCCAGCGAAGGUGGUGUGGUAUUUUCCCCCAAUUCCAAGGUUUAAAAGGAUGUUUCAAUCACAUGAGACAGCUAAGAGUUUGACUUGGUGGCAUGUUGCUAGAAAAUCAAUUGACGGUCAGAUGUCUCAUCCGGCGGAUUCCCCGUCUUGGAAACUUCUUGAUGAUAAAUGGCCUGAGUUUGGUAAUGAGCCGAGAAACUUGAGAUUGGCUCUUUCAUCUGAUGGAUUCAAUCCCCACAGUUCUCUAAGUAGCAGAUAUAGUUGUUGGCCGGUUAUCUUAGUUACAUAUAAUCUCCCUCCAUGGCUGUGCAUGAAACGAAAGUUCAUGAUGUUAACCUUAUUGAUUUCCGAUCCUAAACAACCCGGAAAUGAUAUAGACGUCUACUUGGAGCCUUUGAUUGAUGAUUUAAAAUCCUUGUGGGUUGGGAUUAGAGGAGUGUAUGAUGCACAUAAUGGAGAAUACUUUACACUCAGAGCUGCAUUAAUGUGGACAAUUAAUGAUUUCCCCGCCUAUGGAAACUUAUCUGGUUGUGUUGUUAAAGGAUAUAAAGCUUGUCCAAUAUGCGGCGAUGAUACACCUAGUCAAACAAAUAUUUUUUGUUGACGACCCGAUGCAUCGUGGUUGGUCGUGUAGGCGUGUGAGUGUGUGUUUGUGUUUGUUUUUGUGUGUGUGUGUGUGUGUGUGUGUGGUGUGUGUGUGUGUGUGUGUACCAUUACUNNNNNNNNNNNNNNNNNNNNNNNNNNNNNNNNNNNNNNNNNNNNNNNNNNNNNNNNNNNNNNNNNNNNNNNNNNNNNNNNNNNNNNNNNNNNNNNNNNNNAUGUAAUUGGCAGUGUAUGACAUUAAUUUUGUAAUAUAUUGUAAUGUGAUUUCUUCACUUUCUACGUUCAAAUAAAACACGACGUUAUUGUGAAUCAGUUAUUCAGCAUAUUUACCGACGUCUUAAAGCAACGUAACAAUGAAGAACCACGACGCUAUUGUGAAGCAAUUAUUCAGGAUAUCACGUCGGUGAAGGAUAAAGAACCGCCAUGUAAUUCAAAAUAACACGACUCCAAUCCCAUAAUACCGACGUCUAAAAAACGAGAUAUGUAAUCUGAACGUUAAAAAAUACGACGUCAUCAUACAUUUUCCACGUCGCAAGUUCUUUUAUAAACGAAGAGGAACGAAAUUAAUUCCGACGGAAAUUCAUUAUAACCGCCGUCUAAUAACAAUUAAACGACGUUAUUUGUAAUACGGCUCCCAUCAUAAUCUACGCCGUCUAUAUGUUCUGUAAUACGGCUCUCAUUUAUUUGGAACCGACGUUGUUUAGACGUUCAACGUCGUCUAUAUUAUUAAGUGCGUCGUGAGUAAUGAAUACAUAUAAAUACAACGUCGACUAUAUAAAUGUAUACGUCGUAAAUAAUGACACUGACAACUAUUUCCACGUCAUCUUUUUUAGAUAAAAUCGAAGUGGAAAAUUUAUUUCACGACGGUUUUUUGUAAAUAAGAGACGUUGUAGAACUUUAGCAGACUAAACACGUCUGUUUUUAUUGUUUUCCGACGUUGUUGUAUUUAACAACGUCUAAUAUUUAUGGUCGUUGUUUGUUUCUGAAAAUAGGACGUAUAAAUUUUUUAAUACGACUCUCAUAUAUUUGUAACUGACGUUGUUUAGUUUUUCAACGUCUACUAUAGAAACACAUACGUCGUAAAUAAUGACACUGACAACUAUUUCCACGUCAUCUUUUAUCAAAAAAUCGAAGUGGAAAAUUAAUUGUACGACGGUUGUGUUUAUAUGUGCGACGUAGUAGGUAUCAAUAACAUCGUCUUCUAAUGUAUUUAAAGACGUCAUAUUUUUUAUUGUCGUGAAAAUUAUAUUUAACGUCGGCGUAUUUUUAUUGUCGUCGUUGUAUGUCUAUCUUGCGGCCUUGUUCUCUUAAUAUGUGUCAUAUUUUCCCUUUUUAACGACGGUCUUUUUAGAGAAUUGGUCGUCUAUUAUCAUCAUCGAUUGCUUUUUUUAGAUCUUUUUGCAGUACAAAGACGUCGUUUUGUAUUUUUUGAUGACGUUGUAUUGUUUAACAACGACGGUUAUUUAGCGUCGUGGUUUAUGAGGGAAAAGAUGACGGUGGAUUCCACGACCAUUGAAAAACCAAAUACACGACGGUGAUUUACCGUCGUCUUUUUGCUUUUUUGUAGUAGUGAUCGGAAACUUGACUAAUUAGAAUACAACAUAUGUCGAAAUAUUUUUAUCAUAAAUGGUCUCUAAGGUUCGUGAAAUUAUUAGCUUUAGUCCUUCAUGUUUUUUUGUGACAUCAUUGGUCCUUUAUGUUACUCCUCUUCACACAUCAAUUUGGUUCUGCCGUUUGGAUUCGUCAAAAUUUAUGUUAAAUUGAUGGCAUGACAUGUAUAUGGUGCCUACAUAUCCAAUGAGAUAAUGACCCGUGGAUCUAAGUAAAAAAUUUGUUUUAAAAAAAUAGUUUCAUAUUUAAAAUUUUUAAAGGGCGAAGACUCAUUGGGUAACUCGAAGUUUGGGUUGUUGAAGCCUUCAAGCAUGGUUUUGCUCACAAAAGAUUGGAACGCAAUGUGUUGGGUUGAGCACUGAAAACCAAAGAAUAUCAAAAAUGUAGUAGGGGGGAGAGAGAGAGAGAGANNNNNNNNNNNNNNNNNNNNNNNNNNNNNNNNNNNNNNNNNNNNNNNNNNNNNNNNNNNNNNNNNNNNNNNNNNNNNNNNNNNNNNNNNNNNNNNNNNNNACCUCAUGUCAGCACUUAAUAGAAAAUUUGACGGACCCUAACGGCAUGGAUCAAAUUGAUGUGUGGUGUGUAACAAAAAGGAUCAAUAAUGUCACAAAAAACAUAAAGGACCAAAGUUGAUAAUUUUGCGAACCUUAUACACCAUUUAUGAUAAAAACCCUAUAUUGUAUAAUUUUAGUGUGUUUUUUUCUUAAAUGCUAUUGAGAAGAGAUUUUAUAAAACUGCUAUAUAAAAGGUUCACCACAAUGCUAUAAAACAAUAGUAGAUUAUGGCUCUCAGAUGUUUUCAUCUUCUUAUUCAUCCAAGCAGAUCGAUAACAUAUGGUCACUACUGACUUUUUCUUGUAGUUCUCAACAUCCAUCUUUCAAGCCAUCAACCAAGUUGUUGCAUUGCUCCUCACUGUUAGAAAAGCCUCGUUUCCCUCCUCCUCCUCCAUUGAUUGAAGGAGAGACAACAAAAGCAACUUAUGAAACAAGCCCCUCAUUUCCUUGUUAAACAUAAAUCGACCCAUUAUUGAUGAGGACUGAGAAUCUAAGAGCACACUAGUAAUUAACCUGAGUGGGGAAUAUGGAUGAUGGAUCUCUCUCUCUCUCUCUCUCUCUUGAAAAAAUCAACUUCAUUAUCCUUGGUGAAUUUGUUCUGAAUUAGUCGUGUCCAGCUACAAGCAAUACUGUACGUAGUAUAUUAUUCUCUGCAUUUGUGCAUGCCAACAACAAACAAAUAUUAUUCUCUAUUAUAGCAUAUAGGCCGUCAUUUUCAAUCCUUAUAAGAGAAAACUUGCUUCGCCAUAAGAGUACGUAGCUUGGCAAGCAAGGUAAGGGUACUUCAAAAGAUUCCUUCCAUCAUCUAUAUAAGACACAUGUGACAUUGCAUGUCUCAUCAAUCAUGUUAAGAUAAAGCUAGCUGGCAAGGCAAAUUACCAACCUUUAUGCUCGAGUAUAUUAUUCCAAGCAGAUAUAAAUGUUAAUAUAUGUGAAGAAUAUUAUGAUCAAUAUAGAAUAUGUAUCAUGAUCAGUUAUGGUAUCGACUGUCAGAAAAUAUCAUCCGCAUAUGUGCAUACCAACAUUAUCGAAAGACAGUAGGAGUAUCGUCAUAUCCGAUACAAGUAUCGGAGCAUGGGUAAGAGUAUAUAUACAAGCAUACCCGUCCAAUUAGGAGAAUCAGUGCAACAUAGAUGAAAAGAAAUUAGAUGUGAUUUCACAUAUUUUUAAAGAAUAGGGGAAAUAAACCAAUUAAUCUCUUUUGUCUUCUCCAUACAUUUUUGGUUGUGAAUUUUGGUUUUCGAAGAAUUUGGCAUUUCAAGCAACUUGGAAAACAUUUUGAUGAUCCAUUGAACCUUGUUAAAGUCGAUAUUCAAUCUCUAUGGACUUUGGCCGAAAUGUCUCAUUUCAAUUGGAAAGUGACAUUGAGAUUUGAAAAGACUAGACAUUAAGGUGGCAAGAGAAGUCUAAAAGGAUCAAACAGAAAAAAAUAAUGAAAAAUUGAAAAUAACCUAGAAAGGGGAGAAAAAAUUAGUUGCAAUAGGGAUAAUAAUGUUUGAGUAAUGCUAAACGAACUCUAAAAUUAACUUAGUACACCCUACUAUCAAACUAUUUAUUGAAUUACUAAUUUACCCUAAUAUAAAAUGACCAAAAAGGAUAUAUUGAAUUGUGCAGCAAAUGUAAUUUUAAUAAGUACACAUUACUCACCAUAUUCAACCCUAAUAUUCGAUGGAGGCGACAUUGAAUGCUAUGAAUCCAACCCAAACCCACCACCACCGUCCCUCUCUCUCUCUCUCUCUCUCUCUCUCUCUCUCUCUCUCUCUCUCUCACAAAUUAUCUUAUUUGCUCUAAAUUUUUUGCAAUGAGUCAGAAUCUUCUAUGUGUAUGUGGCAUUCGUUCAUUAGACUUGGUUAAUGCAUUCAACCCACCCAAAACAAUAAUCAUUUGAUGUUCAUCCUCGAUGUUGGUGGUUUCAAGUGAGCAUGUUCCCAAACGGCUCUUACACUUGCCCACUAGAACUCCAGCUCCUCACCCUCUGAUGAAUCUAAUGACAAUUAUGUUGUUGUUUGCACCAUAAACACCAACUUCCAACAACUCCAAUACAACCUAUUUCUUCUUAAUUAGAUACCUUGGGGGUUGAUAGCAACCUCAAUAGUCUAAGAAACAAACCCACUUCGGAAUUUUCCUUCUUCCACUAGUUGAAGGGAGAUGGGUUCCAACACGAUAUUACGCGCUUAUUAGAAUCUUAUACUCGUCGAGUCUGGGUUGGCUGGUGAUAAGCAGGGGAAGGGUGGAGUUGGGUUGUGUUAGAGAGAGAGAGAGAGAGAGAGAGAGAGAGAGAGAGAGAGAGAAAGAGAAAGAGAGAGAGAAGGGCGGUAGUGGUUGGGUUGGGUUGGAUGCGAAAGGGCUUAAAUCAGAGGAGGAAGGACGGGUUUGGCUGGGUGGGUGACAGGACCCGACCCAAUUUCCGCUUUGGAAUCCGAGCUGAAUCCUGUGCGUGUCCGACACCUGGCGAAUGUCGGGCACGAAUGACCUUUUUACCCUUCUCUUUUCAAAUUCUUUUUUUUUUUAAACUUCCCUUAGACUUCUACCGAAAAUUCGACAGAGUCUCCCCUGUAUUUUGACCAAACCCAAAGUCUUCCACCUGUCAAACAGUCUCAAAUAACACACCAACUACCAGACUAACUCAACCAACAGAUCUCAACUCCAGUUUCUCAUGUUCAACAAGAUAUCAAAGCAUUUCUAUACAAAUUUACAGAACUAUGAGAAAGUUACAACGAGAUCCUACACUUUGGGGGUGGGGCGAAAGCUGGGAAGAUGGCCCGAGUGGUUUCCUUCGUACUUCUAUGGCCUGGGGGCGAAAAACAAGGUUAAAAUUGUGAGUGGACAAAAAUAAAAUUCUUUAAAACAAAAACAAGUUAGAACAUAAUAACCCCCGUUUUGAAAUACUAGGGAUAUAAAUCGUUAAUUUAGCUAUAUUUCAAUAUAAGGAAUUCAAUAAACAUGAAUAAAUAUACUGACGAAUAAACUUGCAUAACUGAUCAAAUAUAUAUAAAGAUAAUAACGCAUGAAUAUCAAGAAACUGGUAUAAAAUCACGGGAAAUCAUAACUGGAUAAAAGAGCUCAAAAUCCUUUGAAACUACCACCUAGAUGUACCCCUGUCAUAUCCGUCAAUUCCCCUGGCAGGUCUCGGGCGUCACGCAGUCUACCCGAGCCGCAAACUGGCGAAAUCAAGGGACUAUGAUCAGCCUGAUCCGCCGGCAGGUCUCGAUGACACCAAGUCGACUCGAGCCGCUCUGGCAGGAUGCAGGGGACCGCAGUCAGCCUGAUCCGCAAUCCUGGCAGGUCUCGGGGACACAGAGUCAGCCGAGCCGCAAAUCCUGGCAGGUCUCGGGACACCAAGUCUGCCGAGCCGCAAAUUCUGGCACUCACGGUCCGAGCGUCCCCGAAACUCGUGAGGCAAAGUCAAGUGCACUGACGUAACUGAAAUCAGACUGGAUGUUCGUAGACAUCGGUCCGACUGUGGGUAAUCACCAUAAAUAGAUGGGUACAUGGUGGUUUAACAAGAAAUUCUGAUAACUCUCUGAAAUCUGAUAAGUCUGAACUAAAUUACUAUCUUUGUAUCAAAAGUCUCAAGUUUACUGCUCAACCAAUAUUAUAAAAAUAAAGAUAUUUCACAAUGCAAAUCAUGCUUCGAAAUUACGUAAUAACACUUAUUCAAGAUCAAAUAGAAAAUAUAAUUAUAAAAUCUUUUAGGAAAGAAAAGUCCACUCACUGUUGGUCCGAGCUAUCUGGACCCUUCGAAGAUCCCUCAUGUGGGUCAACUGGACCUCUGGUGCCUUACUCGAUUGAUUUGGUGGAGAAUUGAAGGAGAACGAAGGAGAUGAAGUUUGGAUGAAAAACAGGCGGAAAUCGCCAGUUUCCGGCCAAUUCCCGGCGGUCCAAGGCCGGCGACGGGUCGAGGAAGGGAGGCGGCGGCGAGGCGGACCGAUUGACACCAACGGCGGAGGUCGCCGUGCCCUGUAGCGACGGCACGCUCGAUCUGAAACAGGGAGGGGGGCGGCGGUUGCGACGGGAGAGAGAGAGAGAGAGGAGAGAGAAAUGAGGAGAGAGAAGAGAGAAGGAAGAGAUAAAAUCUGACUUUUUUUUCAAAUUACCGUUUUGCCCUUCGAGGUAAUUUAAUCGUAUCUUCUUCAUUACAAUUCCAAUUCGGGUCUACUCCGUGUCUACGGACUCGUUUCGCCGUGCUCUACGCAACGGCGCAAGCGAAAUUCUCAAAUUCUUUCUUGAUCAAAAAGUCAAAUUUUCCCCUAUUAAAAUAUGCGAGGGCAAAAUCGUCUUUUGGGUAGAAUAAAGAAAUCCUAAUUUUUAGAUAUUUUAGUUUGGGUUAUUACAGUGGGGGGUGGAGAGAUGAUGGGAGGUCGAUUUAACAGGGUUAAGUGUUGUUAAGUGGUUUACCACAUGUCAAAAAAAUAGAAGGAAAACAUGUCGGGCACAUGGCAUUUGGUAACAGUAAAAUUGGACUCAUGAAUGAGUUAGGUGUUGUGUGAUAGAGUGUAUUAGGGUGUACCAUGGGUAUUUUUAGUAGUUAAAUAGGAUGUACUGAGUUAAUUUUAUAAUUUGAUUUAAAUAUUAGGGUAUACUUAGAUCAUAGGGUGUACUCAGUUAAUUUUAAGGUUUGUUUAGCAACAUUCUAAUGUUUUGUUAUCCCCGGUCAAUAAUUUUAUAUCGUGUGGCUUAGAAGGAGGCCUGUUAUCCAACUCAUCUGGUCCACCGUCCAUGAUAUGAACCCGACUUGAGAAUCUUUUGGUGAAGUAGAACAACCCAACUUGAGAGUUGAGGCAGCCAAACUAGAAGGGAAGCAUCCCCACUCCAGUCCCGCUCCCCAUGUGCCCAAUACUUUGCUUGUUUACUUCACCUUUUAAACCUUUUAGGAUUUUCCAUAGGCUAAGAGGAAAACAACAACAUUACGGCCCAGUUUACGAAUGGAUUCGAGGGGAAAUUACUUCCCAUGCCAUUUUUUAAGGGAUGGAAAAUGGAGAUUCAUUUCCCAUAUUUGAUAAUCCUAGGAAAGUAACUAAGAAAUACUACUUUAUUUCCUUUCACAUAUUUGGUUUGUGUAGGAAUGUAAAACAAAGUUAGUUUAAUUUUUCAAUUAUAUCCAUAUGAAAUUAAAUUUUAAAAAAAAUGUAUUUAAUGCUAUAUUGUUAAUGGGGACAAUAUGGUCAUGAAAAAUGUGUAUUUAAUGUUGGCUAAUUUUCUCAAACUUUCUCAUGUGCAAGACAACGAUUUCUCAUGCCUAGACUUACCAAAUAUGGGAAAGCAAUUGAUUUCUCAUCACCAAGCCUCCUUUCCCAUGAACCAAACAGGACCUACAAGUUAUUAGCUUCAAGCCUUCAAGGAUUUUCAUAACAAAUCUUCCAAUCUCACACAAAAAUAAAAAAGCAUCCAUGUAUGUAAUUUCUAGAUUAAAAUCUCACUUUUUAGGCAUUCCAUUUUCUUAGGAUUAGGUAUUACUACGCACGGACAAUCUUACGAUUAUCUGCAAUUCAUCCUUCAAUAGCUAUGGACGUUAUAUCAAAUCAACAAUAAGACGUACAUUUCUUCAAAGAACUAAAUCAUGCGGAUGUCAACUUGCUCUCACUUAUAUGUUUGUCUCUCCAUAUGAGGAAGGGUGUUUAGCUUAAGGUUUUAGGGCGCGGUUGUCUAAGAACAAUAAGGUGAACAUGUUUUGUCAAAGUACAUGGGAGACCUUUAUCUUCAAACACAAAAAAUGGCCAAAAUUAAAUUAGCAAGGAUCGACAUAUGGAUGUGAGCUUUUACACAUUGCCACUAAUUCUCUCCAUACUUUUGUUGAAAUCAUUUACAAAAUAAGAAAACUUUAGUAAUUGAAGCGAAAGAGAAGAAUUACCAGAACAGAAAAUAAGAAAAAAGAAGCACCUAACCCAAACUUUAAGUCACGAAUUUAACAGUUUACUUUUUAAAAAAAGUAAGUUACAAAACAAUCCCCUUAUUGAUGAGGAUUGAGAAUUUAAGAGCACUAAUAACUUGAGUGAGGAAUAUUGCACAUGGACGAUGGAUCUCUCUCUCUCUCUUUGAAAAAAAAGAAAAAAGAAACAAAAAUCAACUUCAUUAUCCUUAGUGAAUUUGUUCUGGAUUAGUUGUGUUGCAAUGGAACAUCGAACCUACCUAGCUAAAAGGAAAAAAGAAAGGCCACUACGACAGUACUGCAGUAUAUUAUUCCAAGAAGACAAAUGUAAACUAUAUACGUGAAGAAUAUCUAUUAUUGGUCGUCAUUUUCAAUCCUCAUAAAAGAAAACUUACUUCGCCAUAAUUUCAGGUUGUUCUCAAGGCAGGAAGGUAAGGACACUUGAAAAGAUUCCUUCUCAUCAUCUAUACAAGGAAAUGUGUUCUCAUCAAGCUAGGGGACAAGGCAAAUUAGCAACCUUUAUACUCGAUAUAUUAUUCCAAGCAGAUAUACAUGUGAAGAAUAUUAUGAUCUUGAUCAAUAUGGAAUCAGUGGGUGUAUCGAUCGACCAUCCAAAGAAAAAGGAUAUCCUCUGCAUAUAUGUGUGCAUGCCAACAACUAUAAAAGGAGACCAUGAGGCAAUGAGUUGAUCAUCAAAGCAAACACACAGAUAUCCCAACUAAAAAUCAUUCAGUGAGACAAUGGCUGGAACCAAUGAUAUUAAAAUUAAAGGGUUCGAUUUGAGCAAAAACAGCGGCAACACGUCCGGAUUAACCCACUUCGCCAACAGAGCUGACGAGGGCGACAAGGGCGACAAUAAAAUCGAGGUUGAGGAUGCUAAAGCGCAAGAUAACAAGGGAAACUUGAAAGUACUGACCGACUUCGCCCAACGUGGUAAGGUGGGCCAGUCGGAUCGCCAAGAAAUCACGGGGAGCAAGCCACUUCAGACGGCAGCAUGAAAUUGAUGAAGGCCAUACCAUAAUAAAAUAUCUACACUAAAAUAAGAGCUGAUGCAGUAUCUGAGGCUCCUUCCUUGGUUAGGCCUCAUUAUCAUGUGCAAUACUAAUAUUAUUAUUCUAAUAAAAUAAUGGUAGCUUAUUAUUAAAUAUAUCAAAAUUCUAUACGUAUAACUUUUAGAUUAUUGAUACUGAUGACAUACCAACAAGAGAAAACGAUUCAAAAGUCCUUUCUCCAAUUCGUGAUGUUACAAAAUGAGACGUCAAAUUUAAAAAUAUAGUUGCAUACGAGUAUAAACUGAACCAAUAAGCAAUGUAUGAGUGACCAAAGGUCUCAAACGAUGCAUUUAAGAAGAAGGGUACUAAAUUAAAAGAUGUACGCCAGUGAACUAUGGCAAUCUCUCGUUGCAUGCACGCAUAUGCAAUUGAAGAAGACCUAACUUAUAUCACGAAGAAGUGGAUGGGUCUUUACAUAUGAAGUUUUUAAAAUUAACACUACCGGAAGACAAUAGGAGUAUCGGCGUAUCUGAUACAAGUAUCGGAGUCUCGGAGUAUUAGAUUUGAGCAUACCUGUCCAAAUAGGAGUAUCGGUGCAACAUAGAUGAAAAGGAAUUGGAUGUGAUUUCACAUAUUUUUAAAGAACAGGGGAAAUAAACCAAUUAAUCUCUUUCGUCUUGUCCACACAUUUCUUGUUGCAAAUUUUGGUUUUCAAAAAAUUUGGCAUUUCAAGCAACUUGGAAAACAUUUUGAUGAUCCAUUAUUGAACCUCUAAAGUCGAUAUUCAAUCCCUAUCGACCUUGCUCAAAAAAUGUCUCAUUUCAAUUAGUGCAGAGAAAAAUAAAGGCAGAGUUGAAAAUAGAUUUUUCAGUUUGGAAAGUGACAUUGAGAUGUAAAAAGACUAGACAUUAAGGUGGCAAGAGAGAUCUAACAGGAUCAGACAAAAAAGGAAAAAAAAAUGAAUGAAAAAUAGAAAAUGCCCUAGAAAGGGGAGAACAACUUAGUUGCAAUGGGGAUAACAAUAUCUUGCUAUUACUGGUCAAUAAUUUUAUACCACGUGGCCUAGAAGGAGGCCUGUUAGUCCAACUCAUCUGGUCCACUUCCCAUUAUAUGAACCCGACUUGAGAGUUUUGGUUUUUUGGUUGAAGUAGAACAACCCGACUUGAGAAUUGAGGCAGCCAAACUAGAAGGGAAGCAGCCCACUCCACUCCCGCUCCCCAUGUGCCCAGUACUUCGCUUGUUUACUUCACCUUUUAAACCUUUUAGGAUUUUUUUUAUAGGAUAAGAGGAAAACGACGACAUUACAAGUUAUUACGCAUCAACGUAUGUAAUUUCUAGAUUAAAAUCUCACUUUUUACGCAUGUCAUUAUCUUAGGAUUAUGUAUUACUACGCACUGACAAUCUUACGAUUAUCUGCAAUUCAUCCUUCAAUGACCAAAGACGUUAUAUCAAAUCAACAAUAAGACAUACAUUUCUCCAAAUAACUAAAUUAUGUGGAUUUCAACUUGCUCUCAUUUAUAUGUUUGUCUCUCUCCUCCUAUUGAUUAGCCUCUCCAUAAGAGCAAAUAUGAAAAAAGAAGCUCCCAAUCCGAACUUUAAGUCACAAGUUUAACAGUUUACUUUUAAACAAAAGCAAGUUACGAAACAAUCCCCUGAUUUCCUUGUUAAACAUCAACCGACCCAUUAUUGAUGAGGAUUGAGAAUCUAAGAGCAUAUGGACGAUGGAUCUCUCUCUCUUUUUGAAAACAAAAACAAAAACAAAAAACAAAAAUCAACUUCAUUAUCCUUGGUGAAUUUGUUCUGGAUUAGUUGUUUUGAAUUAGUACAGCUUACGUACGCAAUGGAACAUCGAACUUAGCUAGCUAAAAGGAAAAAAGAAAGGCCACUACUACAGUACCGCAGUAUAUUAUUCCAAGAAGACAAAUGUAAACUAUAUACGUGAAGAAUCUCUAGUAUUGGUCGUCAUUUUCAAUCCUUAUAAAAGAAAGCUUGCUUCGCCAUAAUUUCAGGUUGUUCUCAAGGCAGGCAGAGAGAGUACGUAGCUUGGCAAGAAAGGUAAGGGCACUUCAAAAGAUUGUUUCUCAUCAUCUAUAUGAGGAAAUGUGUUGCCAUCAAGCUAGCGGACAAGGCAAAUUAGCAACCUUUAUACUCGAUAUAUUAUUCCAAGCAGAUAUACAUGUAAAUAUAUGUGAAGAAUAUUAUGAUCAUGAUCAAUAUAGAAUCUGUAUCAUGAUCAGAGGGUAUCGAUCCAGCAUCCAAAGAAAAAGGAUAUACUCUGCAUAUGUGCAUGCCAACAACUAUAAAAGGAGACCAUGAGGCAAUGAGUCGAUCAUCAACGGAAACACACAGAUAUCCCAACUAAAAAUCCAUCGUGAGACAAUGGCUGGAACCAAUGAUAUUAAAAUUAAGGGGUUUGAUUUGAGCAACAACAAAGGCAACACGUCGGGAUUAACCCACUUCGCCAACAGAGCUGACGGGGGCGACAAUGGCAACAAUAAAAUCGAGGUUGAGGAUGCUAAAGGGCAAGGGAACACGGGAAACUUGAAAGUACUGACCGACUUCGCCCAACGCGGUAAAGUGGGCCAGUCGGAUCGCCAAGAACUACUCAAACCUCAGGCAUGAAAUUGAAGAAGGCCAGACCACAACAACUUGUCUGCUUGAUAGAUAUAUGUGCUAAAUUAUCUACACAAAAAUAAGAGCUGAUGUUUUAUCUGAGGCUCCUUCCUUGGUUAGGCCUCGUUAUCAUGUGUAAUAUUAAUAUUAUUAUUCUAAUAAAAUAAUGGUAGCUUAUUAUUAAAUAUAUCAAAAUUCUAUACGUAUAACUUUUAGAUUAUUGAUACUGAUGUCAACAAGAGAAAAUGAUUAAAAAGUCCUUUCUCCAAUUCGUGAUGUUACAAAAUGAGACUUCAAAUUUUAAAACUAUAGUUGCAUACGAGUACAAAACUGAACCAAACAAUGUAUGGGCCAGAGUGACCAAGGAUGUACGCCAGUGAACUAAUGGCAAUCUCUCGUUGCAUGCACGCAUAUGCAAUUGAAGGAGGCAUUAUCUGAGGCUCCUUCCUUGGCUAGGCCUCAUUUUCAAUUUUGAUUUCAACUUUGAUUUUGCUUAAACUUUGAUUUUGAGCUAGACUGUGAUUUCGACUUUGAUCUCCCAAUUCGUGCCUUAAGAAUCAGUUUCUCCCAACUCUAUUUACCAAAACCGAAAACUCUGAACUUUUCAAUUCGUCUGGCUACUCUCAGGGUUUCAUGCCUUAGUUUCCUCUCGCCAAAAAGCCAAAAAGACUUGGCUUUCAUGUAAUGCUAUACUCCUCGAUUGAACAAGCCGCGUCUUCAAAUUCAGCUUUCUCACUUCCUUUCUCUUUACUUUCUUUCUUUUGUUUUCCGGCUGGGAAAAUCAUGGAAGCAUUACAAAUUUAAGAGAAUAUUCUAGUAUUAGGGUCCAAACUGUACUAUUUAGGUAUUUUCAUUCUGAUUAAGAGUUCUUUUCUAGAAAUUUGGGGAAGAAAAAAUAGAGUUUCUGUUUUAGUGUUUGAUUUUCAUUACAGUGAAUUAUGUGAAACCGAAAUGUUUCUUGUCUGAUUUCAUCACUGCUUUCAAAUUGCAAAUUAAGGAUUUGAAGGUUAACAAUGCCCGUCUUUAACAAUGUCGCAUUUCAAUUAGUACAAAAGAAAAAUAAAGGCAUAGUUGAAAAUAGAUUUUUCAGUUUCGAAAGUGACAUUGAGAUUUAAAAAGACUAGACAUUAAGAUGGCAAGAGAGAUCUAAAAGGAUCAAACAAAAAAAGUGAAUGAAAAAUUGAAAAUGCCCUAGAAAGGGAGGAAAUCUUAGUUGCAAUGGGGAUAACAAUGUUUUGCUAUCCUCGAACAAUAAUUUUACACCACGUGACCUAGAAGGAGGCAUGUUAAUCUAACUCAUCUGGUCCACCGUCCAUGAUAUGAACCCGACUUGUGAGUUUUUUUUUUUUUUUGUUGAAGUAGAACAACCAAACUUGAGAGUUGAUGUCACAUCUCAGGAUCGGCUUCACCGUAGCACGAUAUUGUCUGCUUUGGGCCCCCUCGCUGUCCUCGCGGUUUUGUUUCUAGGAGCUCACGAGCAACUUCUCAGUUGGUCACUCAUCUUAGGAUUGCUCUGGCCCAAACUCACUUAACUUCGGAGUUCUCAUGACUCCGAAGCUAGUGAGCUCCUAAAAGGCCUCGUACUAAAUGGAAGUGGGCAUAUAUAUAUAAGGCACAACACCCCAUCUUCGUUGGUUGAUGUGGAAUGUUACAAUCCACCCCCCUUAGAGGUCUGACUUCCUCGUCGGCACACUCUCACCACACGGCAGAGUGGCUCUGAUACCAAACUGUCACAUCCCGGGAACGGCUCCGUCGUAGCACGAUAUUGUCCGCAUUGGGCCAACCUUUCUGCCCUCACGGUUUUGUUACUGGGAGCUCACGAGCAACUUCCCAGUGAAUCACUCAUCCUGGGAUUGCUCUAGCCCAAACUCGCUUCACUUCGGAGUUCCUAUGACUCCGAAGCCAAUUAGCUCCCAAAAGACCUCGUGCUAGAUAAAGGUGGGCACGUACAUAUAAGGCACAUCACCUUCUCUUCGUUGAUCGAUGUGGGAUGUUACAGUUGAGGGCUCCGUUGGUCGAUGUAGGAUGUUACAGUUGAGGCAGCCAAACUAGAAGGGAAGCAACCCAACUCCACUCCCUCUCCCCAUGUGCCCAGUUCUCUGCUCGUUUACUUCACCUUUUAAACAUUUUAGGAUUUUCCAUAAGCAAAGAGGAGAACGACCACAUUACGGUCUCGUUUGGUUCACGAACAGAUUUAAGGGGAAAUAACUUCUCAUGUCAUUUCUCAAGGGAUGAGAAAUGGAGAUUCAUUUCCCAUAUUUGGUAAUCCUAGGAAAAUAACAAAGAAAUACCACUUUAUUUCCUUUCACAUGUUUGGUUUGUCUAGGAAUGUAAAACAAAGUUUGUUUAAUUUUCCAAUUAUACCGAUAUGAAAUCAAAUAAAAAAAGAAUAUUUAAUGUUAUAUUGUAAUUCUAAACUGUUAAUAGGGACAAUAUGAUCAUGAAAAAUGUGUAUUUAAUGUUGGCUCAUUUGCUUAUUUUCCCAAACUUUCACAUGAGGAGGAAAACAAAACCCAAGGGGGGAGGAUGGCUUCACUUUCCCCUCUACUUUCCCAUGUACAAGGCAACGAUUUCUCAAGUCUGGACUUACCAUACAUGGGAAAGAAAUUAAUUUCUCAUCCCCAAGUCAUUUUUCCCAUAAACCAAACGGAGCCUACAGGUUAUAAGCUUCAACCUUUAAGGAUUUUCAUAACAAAUCUUGCAAUCUCAUACCAAGGAAAUAAAAAUAAAAAAAAGGAUCCAUGCGUGUAAUUUCUAGAUUAAAAUCUCACUUUUUACGCAUGCCAUUAUCUAAGGAUUAGGUAUGACUACACACGAACAAUCUUACAAUUAUCUGCAAUUCGUCCUUCAAUGGCCAAAGACGUUAUAUCAAAUGAACAAUAAGACGUACAUUUCUUCAAAGAACUAAAUUAUGUGGAUUUCAACUUGCUCUCACUUAUAUGUUUCUCUCUCUCCUCCUAUUGUUUAGCUUAAGGUUUUAGGGCGUGGUUGUCUAAGAACAAUAAGGUAAACAUGCUUACAAAAAAAGAUGGACAGCAAGGAUGGACAUAUGCGAAUGUGAGCUUUUACACAUUGCCACUAAUUUUCUCCAUGAUUUUGUUGAAAUCAUUAACAAAAUAAGAAACUUUAGUAAUUGAAGCGAAAGAGACUAAUUAUCAGAAGAGAAAAUAUGAAAAAAGAAGCUCCCAAUCCAAACUUUAAGUCACAAGUUUAACAGUUUACUUUAAAACAAAAGCAAGUUACGAAACAAUCCCCUGAUUUCCUUGUUAAACAUCAACCGACCCAUUAUUGAUGAGGAUUGAGAAUCUAAGAGCAUAUGGACGAUGGAUCUCUCUCUCUUUUUGAAAACAAAAACAAAAACAAAAAUCAACUUCAUUAUCCUUAGUGAAUUUGUUCGGGAUUAGUUGUGUUGAAUUAGUACAGCUUACUUACGCAAUCGAAUAUCAAACCUAGCUAGCUAAAAAGAGAAAAAGAAAGGCCACAACGACAGUACUGUAGUAUACGUGAAGAAUCUUAUGAUCUAUAAUAUUCUGUAUUAUUGGCCAUCAUUUUCAAUCCUUAUUAAAGAAAACUUGCUUCGCCAUAAUUUCAAGUUGUUCUGAAGGCAGGCAUAGAGAGCACGUAGCUUGGCAAGGGAGGUAAGGGCACUUCGAAAGAUUCCUUCUCAUCAUCUAUACAAGGAAAUGUGUUCUCAUCAAGCUACGGGACAAGGCAAAUUAGCAACCUUUAUACUCAGAUAUAUUAUUCCAAGCAGAUAAACAUGUAAAUAUAUGUGAAGAAUAUUAUGAUAAUGAUCAAUAUAGAAUCUGUAACAUUAUCAGAGGGGUAUCGAUCGACCAUCCAAAGAAAAGGAUAUCCUCUGCAUAUGUGCAUGCCAACAACUAUAAAAGGAGACCAUGAGGCAAUGAAUCAUCAAAGCAAAGACACAGAUAUCCCAACUAAAAAUCAAUCAGUGAGACAAUGGCUGGAACUGGAACCAAUGAUAUUAAAAUUAAAGGGUUCGAUUUGAGCAACAACAGCGGCAACACGUCGGGAUUAACCCACUUCGCCAACAGAGCUGAUGGGGGCGACAAGGGCGACAAUAAAAUCGAGGUUGAGGGUGCUAAAGCGCAAGAUAACAAGGGAAACUUGAAAGUACUUACCGAUUUCGCCCAACGCGGUGAAGUGGGCAGGUCGGAUCGCCAAGAACUUCUCAAGCCUCAGGCAUGAAAUUGAAGAAGGCCAUACCAUAUAUGUGCUGAAUUAUCUACACAAAAAUAAGAGCUGAUGUUUUAUCUGAGGCUCCUUCCUUGGUUAGGCCUCGUUAUCAUGUGUAAUAUUAAUAUUAUUAUUCUAAUAAAAUAAUGGCAGCUUAUUAUUAAAUAUAUCAAAAUUCUAUACGUAUAACUUUUAGAUUCUUGAGUGGGAAACCCUAGCUGCAUUCUGGUCCCUUUUCUUCUUGCCGACAACCAACCACAAGGAAACUAAAGGGGGAGGUGGCCACUGCCCCUCCCCCCCUUCGCCCAUCUUCCCUUUCUCUCCUCAUCUUCCCUUCUUUUUCUCCCAUCUUUUCCCUUCCUCUUAUGCCCUCUUCUCUUCCCAUUCCCUUUCCCAUAUAGUCUAGAUCUAUUUGGAUCUAGGUUUUGUUUGUUUGUUUGUUUGGUUUGGUUUGGUUGUUUUUGCAGUAUUCUAGGUGACUGGUAGUGACGUUGGAUUGUGUCUAUUAUCGGGAGAGUUGUGAUACCUAGUGGCUGAUGUUUUGUCUCUGUUUCAACGACGGCGGCAGUAGCGACACUAGUGAUAGUUAUUGGAUGUGGUGCUCUUCUUUAUUCUGCACUUACCGAAGAACUAUGCUUGGUCAUAGGAGGUUUUCUUUGUCAGAUUCUGAGUUGAAGUGGAGUGCUUCUUAGGGGUCCUUUUAUUGUUGCUUCUAUGUUCCUCCUCUGUGUUCUCUCCUGUUUUCUGUUAUGGUAUGCCUUGUAGUUUGUAUGGGUGUCAAAAUACUAUGAUUUUGCUCAUAGAAGGCUUCUUUUGACAGUUGGGAUAUUCUACGAUCCUCUUCUGUGGGUUUACUAUUUGGGGUUUCUGUCGUUCUCUCAUGUGGGUGUACUAUGUUGGUAUCUAGUUGAGGUUUUCGUCGGAGUUCUUUUUGUUAGUUUUCGUUUUUGAUUUGUUCUUUUAUUGUAAUGGUCCAAAGCGACCAGAAUUAAACUCUCUUGUUAGUCCAUGACAUGUGUGGUACUCUUUUCUCCCCGGGGUUUGUCCCUUGAGAUUGCCCUAGGAAGGUUUUAACGAGGCCACUAUAUCAUGUUGCUCAUUGUACGUCUUUGGUUCUAUUAAUUAAUUCUCUUUCUUAAAAAUAACAAAAAUAAAUAAAUAAAUAAAUAAAAAUUUAGAUUAUUGAUAACGAUGUCAACAAGAGAAAAUGAUUAAAAAGUCCUUUCUCCAAUUCGUGAUGUUACAAAAUGAGACUUCAAAUUGUAAAACUAUAGUUGGAUACGAGUAUAAAACUGAACCAGGCAAUGUAUGGGCCAGAGUGACCAAGGUUGUACGACAGUGAACUAAUGGCAAUUUCUCGUUGCAUGCACGCAUAUGCAAUUGAAGAAUGCCAUAAUAAUAUGUGUUUUUACUAAAUUAUCUACACUAAAAUAAAAACUGAGGCAUUAUCUGAGGCUCUUUCCUUGGCUAGGCCUCAUUUUCAAUUUUGAUUUCAACUUUGAUUUCGCUUAAACUUUGAUUUUGAGCUAGACUGUAAUUUCGACUUUGAUUCUGAUUCUCUCCCAAUUCAUGCCUUAAGAAUCAGUUUCUCCCAACUCUAUUUACCAAAACCAAAAACUCUAAACUUUUCAAUUCGUCUGGGUACUCUCAGAGUUUCAUGCCCUAGUUUCCUCUCGCCAAAAAGCCAAAAAGACUUGGCUUUCAUGUAAUGCUAUACUCCUCGAUUGAACAAGCUGCGUCUUCAAAUUCAACUUUCUCACUUCCCUUCUCUUUACUUUCUUUUCUUUUGUUUUCCAGCCCGGAAAAUCAUGGAAGCAUUACAAAUUUAAGAGAAUAUUCUAGUAUUAGGGUCCAAACUGUACUAUUUAGGUAUUUUCAUUCUGAUUAAGAGUUCUUUUCUAGAAAUUUGGUGAAGAAAAAAUAGAGUUUCUGUUUUAGUGUUUGAUUUUCAUUAUAGUGAGUUAUGUGAAAUCGAAAUGUUUCUUGUGUGAUUUCAUCACUGCUUUCAAAUUGCAAAUUAAGGAUUUGAAGGUUACAAAUUAUUAUGUAGAUAAUUUUUGGGAAUUUAAGAGGCAGUACAGUGUUUGUAUAAGUCUUGAGAUAGACCAAUUUACCACAUGCUCGAUUUCUAUAUAUAAAUUUUUUUAAAUCAUUCUUUUGUUUUAUUUAUUCUGUUAAUUUGUCAUAAUGUGUAAUAUGAUAGCUUCUAAUUCUUUCUUCCUAUUUCUUCUUUUUUGUUAUUCUCUCCCAAAUGAAAUGAAGACCUAACUUAUAUCAAGAAGAAGAGGAUGGAUCCUUACAUAUGAAGAUUUUAAAAUUAACAUUAUUGGAAGACAGUAGGAGUAUCGGCAAUUUGAUACAAGUAUCGGAGUAUCAAAUACGAGCAUGCCCGUCUUUAACAAUGUCUCAUUUCAAUUAGUACAAAAGAAAAAUAAAGGCAGAGUUCAAAAUAGAUUGUUCAGUUUCGAAAGUGACAUUGAGAUUUAAAAAGACUAGACAUUAAGAUGGCAAGAGAGAUCUAAAAGGAUCAAACAAAAAAAAUGAAUGAAAAAUUGAAAAUGCCCUAGAAAGGGAGGAAAUCUUAGUUGCAAUGGGGAUAACAGUAUUUUGCUAUCCUCGAUCAAUAAUUUUAUACCACGUGACCUAAGGAGGCAUGUCAAUCUAGCUCAUCUGGUCCACCGUCCAUGAUAUGAACUCGACUUGAGAGUUUUUUUUUUUUUUUUUUUUUUUUUUUGGGGUUGAAGUAGAACAACUAGACUUGAGAGUUGAUGUCACAUCUCAAGGUCGGUUCCACCGUAGCACGAUAUUGUCUGCUUUGGGCCCCCUCUUUGUCCUCGCGGUUUUGUUUUUAGGAGCUCACGAGCAACUUCCCAGUUGGUCACCCAUCUUGGGAUUGCUCUAGCCCAAACUCACUUAACUUCGGAGUUCUCAUGACUUCGAAAUCAGUGAGCUCCCAAAAGGCCUCGUGCUAAAAGGAGGUGGGCAUAUACAUAUAAGGCGCAACACCCCCUCUCCGUUAGUCGAUGUGGAAUGUUACAAUCCACCCCCUUUAGAGGUCCGACGUCCUCGUCGGCACAGUCUCACCACACGGCAGAGUGGCUCUAUGCCAAAUUGUCGCAUUCCGGGAUCGGCUCCGUCGUAACACGAUAUUGUCCGCGUUGGGUCAACCUCUCUGCCCUCACGAUUUUGUUUCUGGGAGCUUACGAGCAACUUCCCAGUAGAUCACUCAUCCAAACUCGCUUAACUUCGGAGUUCCCAUGACUCCGAAGCCAGUGAGCUCCCAAAAGACCUCGUGCUAAAUGGAGGUAGGCAUGUACAUAUAAGGCACAUCACCUCCGCUCCGUUGGUCGAUGUGGGAUGUUACAGUUGAGGGCUCCGUUGGUCGAUGUACGAUGUUACAGUUGAGGGCUCCGUUGGUCGAUGUAGGAUGUUAUAGUUGAGGCAGCCAAAAUAGAAGGGAAGCAACCCUACUCCACUCCCUCUCCCCAUGUGCCCAGUUCUCUACUCGUUUACUUCACCUUUUAAACCCCUUCGUACUUGAAGACCUGGCUGGCAAUUUGAUUGAAGCGAAAGAGACUAAUUAUCCAUGCUUUUGUUGAAAUCAUUAACAAAAUAAGAAACUUUAGUAAUUGAAGCGAAAGAGACUAAUUAUCAAAACAGAAAAUAUGAAAAAAGAAGCUCCCAAUCCGAACUUUAAGUCACAAGUUUAACAGUUUACUUUAAAACAAAAGCAAGUUACGAAACAAUCCCCUUAUUUACUUGUUAAACAUCAACCGACCCAUUAUUGAUGAGGAUUGAGAAUCUAAGAGCACAUGGACGAUGGAUCUCUCUCCCUUUUUGAAAACAAAAACAAAAACCAACUUCAUUAUCCUUAGUGAAUUUGUUCUGGAUUAGUUGUGUUGCAAUGGAACAUCGAACCUACCUAGCUAAAAGGAAAAAAGAAAGGCCACUACGACAGUACUGCAGUAUAUUAUUCCAAGAAGACAAAUGUAGACUAUAUACGUGAAGAAUAUCUAGUAUUGGUCGUCAUUUUCAAUCCUCAUAAAAGAAAACUUACUUCGCCAUAAUUUCAGGUUGUUCUCAAGGCAGGAAGGUAAGGACACUUGAAAAGAUUCCUUCUCAUCAUCUAUAUAAGGAAAUGUGUUCUCAUCAAGCUAGGGGACAAGGCAAAUUAGCAACCUUUAUACUCGAUAUAUUAUUCCAAGCAGAUAUACAUGUGAAGAAUAUUAUGAUCUUGAUCAAUAUGGAAUCUGUAUCAUGAUCAGUGGAUGUAUCGAUCGACCAUCCAAAGAAAAAGGAUAUCCUCUGCAUAUAUGUGUGCAUGCCAACAACUAUAAAAGGAGACCAUGAGGCAAUGAGUUGAUCAUCAAAGCAAACACACAGAAAUCCCAACUAAAAAUCAAUCAGUGAGACAAUGGCUGGAACUGGAACCAAUGAUAUUAAAAUUAAAGGGUUCGAUGUGAGCAACAACAGCGGCAACACGUCGGGAUUAACCCACUUCGCCAACAGAGCUGCCGAGGGCGACAAGGGCGACAAUAAAAUCGAGGUUGAGGAUGCUAAAGGGCAAGGGAACACGGGAAACUUGAAAGUACUGACCGACUUCGCCCAACGCGGUAAAGUGGGCCAGUCGGAUCGCCAAGAACUUGUCAAACCUCAGGCAUGAAAUUGAAGAAGGCCAUACCAUAACCACUUGUCUGCUUGAUAGAUAUAUGUGCUAAAUUAUCUACACAAAAAUAAGAGCUGAUGUUUUAUCUGAGGCUCCUUCCUUGGUUAGGCCUCGUUAUCAUGUGUAAUAUUAAUAUUAUUAUUCUAAUAAAAUAAUGGUAGCUUAUUAUUAAAUAUACCCAAAUACUAUACGUAUAACUUUUAGAUUAUUGAUACUGGUGUCAACAAGAGAAAAUGAUUAAAAAGUCCUUUCUCGCAUUCGUGAUGUUAGAA